AUGAAGUGUGGUGGGUUAGAAUGAAGUGUGGUAGGUUAGAAUGAAGUGUGGUAGGUUAGAAUGAAGUGUGGUAGGUUAGAAUGAAGUGUGGUAGGUUAGGGUGAAGUGUGGUAGGUUAGGAUGAAGUGUGGUAGGUUAGACUGAAGUGUGGUAGGUUAGACUGAAGUGUGGUAGGUUAGACUGAAGUGUGGUAGGUUAGAAUGAAGUGUGGUAGGUUAGAAUGAAGUGUGGUAGGUUAGAAUGAAGUGUGGUAGGUUAGAAUGAAGUGUGGUAGGUUAGAAUGAAGU